rnacentral:rRNA from 4 species
CAACUUUCAGCAACGGAUCUCUUGGCUCUCCCAUCGAUGAAGAACGCAGCGAAAUGCGAUAAGUAAUGUGAAUUGCAGAAUUCAGUGAAUCAUCGAAUCUUUGAACGCACCUUGCGCCCUUUGGUAUUCCGAAGGGCAUGCCUGUUUGAGUGUCAUUAAA